rnacentral:lncRNA from 1 species
AUGAGGCGGCCUCCCAGAAGUCAGUCAGACCCACCAUCGCCUCAUUUUCUCUCAGCUCAAGUUCCCUCAUGUGGUUUGAGUCAAGGAGCUAAUGAGCAGCGAGAGAGCAGCUCGGGCCUGAAGCAGGAGGCAGAAGGGAUGCGGAAGAAGGGAGAUGCUGGGCUCCCUCGAGGCGGAGGAGACGGAGGCCGCCGUGCUGCUUGUUGGACCCCACGGAGGUGCCCUAUCUUUGUGGAUGAACUUGAGCCAAUCCUUGGUUCCCAGGGGCUCCCAGGGGCAGGAAACCCACCUGAAGUUGAAGGCUCCAGUAAGGUAAGCACUAUAGGUUUGACAGGUGAUAUUGCUCCCACUUUCAGAUGAUGACAUUCAGGACAGAGGGGUUCUUUGGUCAGCAAGAGUCAGUGCCAAUGAUGAUAGGUGAUGUUCUUGUGAUGGGUACUAUGCGGGCAUUGUUCUCAGCAUCCUUUUUUUUUUUUUCUUUCCAAUUUUAUUGGCAUAUAGCAUGGUAUCAGCCCAAGGUGUAAAGCAUAAUGCUUUGGUACCUAUAUAUAGUUGCUUUUCUUGUGAUGAGAACUUUUAAGGAUUUACUCUCUUAAUAACUUUCAAAUAUACAAUAGAGUAUUAUUAACUAUAGUCACCGUGCCAUACAUUACAUCUCUAGAAAUUGUUAUAAUGAAGUUUAUAACUUUUGACCAUCUUCACUCUUUUUUCUCCUCCCUCACCUCUGCCUCUGCCAACCCCCAAACUGUUCUCUGUAUCUGUGAAUUUGGUUUUUUAGAUUCCACAUAUAAGUGAGAUCAUACUUUGUCUUUUUCUGUGUUUUCUUAUUUCAUGUAGUACAACAACCUCCAGGUUUAUCUGUAUUGUCACAAAUGGCAGAAUUUCCUUCUUUUUUAUGGCCGAAUAAUAUUCCACUCUAUACAAAUACCAUAUCUUCUUUAUCCAUUCACCUGUCGAUGGACACUUAGGUUGUUUGCAUGUCUUAGCUGUGCUGCUAUAAAUGUGGGGGUGCAGAUAUCUUUUUGAGACAGUGAUUUCAUUUCCUUGUGCUCAGCAUCUUAUUUGAAUUAUGUCCUCCCUGUGAUGUUGGCACUUGAAUGAUCCCCAUUUUAUAGCUAGGUUAACUGAGACAAGAGAGUUUAAGUUACCUGUUUAAGGUUACAAAGCAUAUGUGAUGGUGCUGGAAUUCAAUUCCAGGUAGUCUGACAUCAGAGCAGGUAUCUGACCACCAUGCUUCUUUGAGUUCAACACCAGCCAGGUCUUCUGAUUCUAAGCCCACCCUUCUUUCCAAUACAUUGUAACAGUCAGUUCUUGGCAUAUAAAUGUCAAAUAUCAAGCCAAUAAUUUCGUAUGUAAGGAUUUCAAAGGUGUACCUCUGGGGAGCCUAUGAUCUCAGCCACACUGUAGGAAAUAAAUUGCUGGGGUUUAGUAUCUUCAAUUCAAAUCACAAACACAGGAUUAGCAGUGGGGCAGAAGUAUUAGUAAAAAUUCAUCUUAUUAAAUGAACAUCUGUUUCCUGGAAUUUGACAGCAUUCCCAAACACACAUGGCUAGGCUGGGAUGGCUCAACUGAGAAAGUUUAAGUUUAUUUUCUAAUGAGAAUUUCUUAGUUAUAAAAACUAUAGAGAUGAAGUCAGUGGACAAGCAGUCUACAUUUUAGUACCCCUAAAAAAAGAAAGCAUUAUUUUAUCUGCCCGACUCUAGAGCCAUUGUAUCGUUCCCCAGCCAAUAAGACACAGAUAGAUUGGGCAAGGAUAUCCAAGGCAUUUAGUGGAUAAAAGGCAGAGAAGUGGGCAUGGUCCAGACUAUUAGAAAAUGCCACUACCUUUCUUCUGCUUUUGGGAUUGGGGUUGAAUCCCACAGUAGACUGACUGCAAAAAAAUGUCUGCAGCUCUUCCAGCACUUGCAGUGUGACUCUGCCAACCAUCAGGAGAUGGAGUCUAUUUCCCCACCCCUUCAAUCUGGGGGCUGCCUUCUGACUUACUUGCCGAUAGAAUGUGACAGAGAGAUGCUAUAAUUAGGGUCUUGCAUGCUUCUCCUCUCUUGUUCCUCUGCCUUUACCACGAGGACAAUUCUGAACUAGGCUGCUGGGGGAUGAGACUCUGUUUGGAGCAGAGCUGAGUCACCCGAGAUCAGCCAUCGCCAGAACACUCUCCACCCAGUGGCAGAUACAUGAGCAAGCCCAGCUGACAUCAUCUGAGCCCAUCCCAGAUCAGCGUAGUUAUUCUGCCAGUUCCUAAAUCCAUGAGAAAUCGUAAAUGGUUGUGGUUUUAAGCCACUUACUAUCGGGCUUAUUUGUUAUGCAGCAUUAUUAUGGCAACAGAUAAUUGACAAAAGCACUAAAAGCAAAUCUCAUCAGUGACAGGACAUCUGUUCUCCAUCACACUCCCUUUCCUGCGUCCCUCCUUGCUUGUUUGGCAUUUGCUUCCAUUAGUGGCUGCACCCCCAGCCUCACCCAGGUCCAUAGAAAAUGUGAAGUCAGGCCAUGAGUUACCUAUGUGAGAAAGGUGGCCAAUGCUUAUGUCACACACUCGUGCUCCCUCAGCCUAGAAAACCAAGUCCCCACUGUGGAAGACGUCCAGACCUUCCUCCCUGGUUCCCAUUAUGCUCUUACUCUCAUCCGUAUCCUUUUUUUUUUUUUUUUUGUCUUUUUGCUAUUUCUUUGGGCCUCUCCCACGGCAUAUGGAGGUUCCCAGGCUAGGGGUCCAGUCGCGGAGCUGUAGCCUCCGGCCUACGCCAGAGACACAGCAACGCUGGAUCCGAGCGGUGUCUGCAACCUACACCACAGCUCACGGCAACGCCAGAUCCUUAACCCACUGAGCAAGGGCAGGGACCGAACCCACAACCUCAUGGUCCCUAGUCGGAUUCGUUAACGACUGCGCCACGACGGGAACUCCCGUAUCCAUUUAAUUCCCAACCCUGGCUCCACUUCCCAUUUAGAGAGCAGUAUAACAGAGUAUAGAACCAAGAAACCUGGAGUUGCACAGGUCUGGCUUCAAACUCUGGCUUUACCACUCAUUAGCUGUAUAGCCUUGGAAAAGUCCAAAAGUCCAUCAACUCACUGAGCAUCAAUUUCUUUGUGCAUAAGAUGGGAAUAAUGAUCUACCUAUAUAGAAUGACUCUGGGGAUGAAGUGACAUGUUAGGGACACAUUAAAUGCCUAAUAGUAGUUUUGAUGCCUAGUAAAUUGUAGUUUUGACUCUGGUUGAUUAUCUGUCUCUCCAGUUCCUAACUCGGGGCUGCCUUUCAGAAAUCGGAUUGGUUCAUACUGCCUGCUCCACCCCCAGCAGUAUUCCCAGGGAACCAGUACUUUCACGGGUUUAGGACUCCAGAGUCCAGUCUCUAGUUCCUGUGGGCACCCAGAUGGAUGGCCUAGUGUGCCCACUGCAGCUGGAUCAGGCAGUGGGACAGAACAGAAUCCAGGCCUUGUGCAAGCGAAGCUGUGGGCAGGCGCACCUCCCCUGCCCCCAAGCUCUGCUGACCGCUUUCGAUGAUUUUCACAUGAUGCAAUGCUCCCUCUGCCCUCGGCAGCCGUAUUAGGUUUCCUCCCAUUCCCAUACACUUCAGAGACUGCUGCCCCGCUCACAUUUCAGACGCUGACCCGCUCCUCUGCACUUUUCCCCUCUGCUUGUCUGGAGACCCGCAAUGAAAUUCNNNNNNNNNNNNNNNNNNNNNNNNNNNNNNNNNNNNNNNNNNNNNCAGGGUGACGCG